CGAAAGUGUCCAGGUAGGUGUAGUGAAGUUCAUCUGAAGCACGGUUGAUUUCAUAGGGGCUGUCCACAUGGAUAUUCCUGUGGAUAAAACCACACAGUCUCACAUGACUCCACAGCGUUGGAGAUGAUGUAACCCAGGACUUGGCCAAACCAUGGCCUCUAGCAUGAGGCCAAUUAUGCAGCUUAACACUGUAAAAGGGAGCAAAGCUUGUCUUCCAAGGUCUCCUCCACAUGCAGAGUCAUGGUUUUGUUUUGCUGUCCUCGGGCCAUUAGAGGCUGGAGAACUGCCACCACCAACACAGCACUGUCUGCGGUAAGAAACCAGGAGUAAUGACACUUACUUGGCACCUUCUGGCAGGACAAUCUUGACAGUCAGAGAGUCUGUGACUUGCUCAUCAAACACGUGGUCAACAAACCUCAUUUUCAGAGCAUACUGAUCACCUAAGGGUGCAGAGCAGAGGGGUGGUUACAACUCCUCAAAGAACAAGGGGCCUUGAAGCCUUGAAGCUCAGCUACAAAUAGCAGCGUGAGCAGAACACGGGUGGAUGUGUUUGCAGCAGGGGGCCCUGGUUCACCCAAGAAUAUUUUAACCAGAUGCCUACAGAAACCUGAAGGAAGCACAGAAAAGGGGCAUUUGCAUACUGCAGAAACACCAGCUAGCAACUGCUCUUGCUAAGGUGCAGCAGACCACAGCUUCGAAUUCUUUACUGUCAAGCAACCACAUUUAACCAGAAAGGAGGUGGUUUCUCUUGCCCUCCCCUGUGCCACUCACCAAGAUUGUAGAGGUACUCGUAGCUGGGCAGGUUGUAGCCGAUGAUGUAAUGGGUUUUCCACCCCCCGAAGAGUGGGAAGCGGGGCCGGAUCUCCAUCUCCACAGAGUCAUCCAGGACAAGGAGGUGGCUGGUGGAGAUGUUUCCAAUUUCAUCUCUGUAAUAGACGUCCUGAGCAGCAGCUGGGAGAAUGGUCUGCAGGGAGAGAGGCAGCAGCCAGUGCAGCGGCCAGGAGAUGCUUCCAGUGACACUGGCAAAAGCCAUGAUGGCUUUUAAACACUGAGAAACUCUGCUCCCGUGUGAGAGCUGACAAAAUGGCCAUUCAGCUCCACUGAGUGCUAACAUUGUGCUAUUAUAAGCAAUCAGCCACAGAAGUGGCUGCCAGCACUAAAAUCACUUGGCUUCUAAAUGAAUGUGCUUUCUCUAGCCCAGUCUCAAAUAUCCCAGGCAGCAAGGGAGCUCAUCAUGCCCACCAGGACAGCAAUUCCCUCUUCACUCCAGCCUGCAGCCCGAGCUCACCAGCUUUACACUCAGCAAAAUGAGAUUUCUGUUUGGCUGCACCACCUUAGAGAAUUACAACAAUCAGUCCUGGAGCCUUCAAGCAGCAAGAAAGGCUUUGGUUCAGAUGAAAACAUGUAGAACUCCUCACAUCUGUCUAGCAGAGCCACAGCUUUAACUGCUGUGGAGUGCUUUGUGAGUAAGGAAUGAAUGGGUGAGUUUCCAAUUAAUACCGUUCAACGUGAUGAAGACGUGACAGAGAAGGCAACUCUGAAAAUGAAGAGGGUGGGGAUAGAAUGGUGCUUGCACUGUGGAAAAUGGAAAGCAGAGCUGUCAGCACAGGGAUUAGGGGUUUUAGAGUCCCUCACACCGGAGGGGUAGGAGUGUGGAUAAACCCUGCGUGCCCUGGUAUAUGCAGCUGUUUGGACAACAGAUGCAGUAAAGAAUAUAAAUUCCUAAUUCUCUCUCCAAAAGCUAUUCCAAUAUAGCAGGAGCCUUCCCUGAAACCACAUCAGAGCUCUAACAUUCCCUUGUUACUUGGGUAUGGUUGCCAAAGAAAAAGCAAAGAGACAACGGUAAUUUUUUCCCCCUCUGGGGAUACAAGAAACGGAGAAGCCAACAGUAAACAAAGACAUAUACAAAAUGUCAACCUUGAAAGACUUGACAGAAGAGAUGCCACUGUCUGGUUGUCUCUGGUAGUCGUAUCUGGAGAAGGGCCCUUUCAGCACUGCUCCCGUGUGCUUCAAAUCAACCGUCUCUUCAACUGCAAUGUUCCCCCAGUGGGACACCUCGAUGACCCGGGUCAUGCUGGUAAUGGUCAGGAAGGGGCUGUUGUUUUCAUAGUGCACCUUCAGGGUGUCCUAACAAAGGAAAAGGGAAACUCUUAGACCUAAAGCAAGCAGCAACCUCUCCUCACAGUCACCUGUCUCCACAUCCCACAGAAAAACGUCCUCGACAGGCCCUGCAGAGGUGAAGCUGAGCGCAGGGGACAGUCUGAGCCACUCUAGCCUUGCUGGCACAGCCCAGGGCAGGGGACACCUAGGGUGUCCUCACAGGUGACCCUGCACAUGGCUGAGCUGUCAUGGUGAGGGGGCUAGAGGUGCAGUCUACCCCAGUGCAAAUGCACCCUGCUAGGACCGUGCACAAACUGCCUUUGGCUUGCUCUGUGGACACCAAGCAGUGCUCUGCAAUUGCAUCUGUACUUGGAGCACCUGGCUGCAGCCUGUGUUCCCAGCCUGCACCUUAAACAAAAGCCUCCCCUUCCCACUCUGCAGCCUCUGAGACACAGGUGUUUGCAAGAUGCUCUGUGCAGAGCCAUAACCCCUUUGCCCCGAGGUUCACCUGGCUGUAUGGAGGAAUGUCCUUGAAGGGGCCGUACUCAAUGGUGUCCUCAGUGCGGGAAGGGUUGCCCAGCUUGCUGUAGCUCUCCACGUUCCUGGAGGCCAGUUUGACCCGAGUUGUUUGGGUCUUGGUCAAGUAUGGGGAGUAGAAAUAGUGGUUUCCUUCAAAGACCACGAACUGCUUCUCACUCUGGGUGAUGUGGGUGGGGUAGGGCUGCAGGACGUGCGUGAAAACCAUUUCAACAGACACACGGACCUUGGCUCCUGGUGCCAGAGGAGAUGGCAGCUUCACAGAGAAGAAUUUCCCACUGGAAAGGAGAACCACAGGAUGUGAAGCUAAGGAAGUACUAGAAAAUGAGCACCAUUUUGGACUGAGGUUCUACAGACAGGAUCAAGGCUUCCCCAGACCUGUAAGGAUGCAUCAGAUGGACUGAGGCCAGGACAGAAGUGAAUGCCCUUCAAGUCAUUCCUGGUGGCUCAACAGUAGAGUCACAUGAGGCCUUCAGCUCUCACAGCUCAGAAAGCACCUGCCUGCCCAGCCUGUAUCUGCACAACACCCCGAGCCCAGCCGUGCAGGACAGCACCAAGGGCACCGUGGCACUCCCCAGCGCAGCCCGAGUGCUCUGGGGACACAGCCAAGGAGCACCUGCAGCCUUCCUGUCAUCACCACUGCCCAGCACUGAGAGCUCAAAAAGGGGCAAUGGGAGGGCUCUCAUUGAAAGCUGUGAGUGGCUACAAGAAGCAGGUAUGUGCUGGGCUCAGAGCAGACAGAUAAAACCAUGUGUGCAAUCUCUCAAGGAAGGAGCAUCUGAGGGAGGGGAAUUGCUUCUCCUGGGGCUUCUUGGGAUGCAGGAAUUGGUUUGGCUGCUUGUGUGACCUACAGUUCCUGGUGCUGUAGCACCCCAGGAUGCAGCCUGAGUCAAGUGGAGCUUUUCAAGAACAAAAGCACUCGAGGAUCUCCAGGUAUGUGAGACUGGGUUAGUAUUUCUGCUCUACCUUGAGGACGAUGAUGGAAUGACCAUUCAUGACUCCAGGUGCUGACCUUAGAGACUGACACUCACCUCUUGCCCUUAACUUUUGUUUCUCUCACUUCCAAGGUGUUCUCCUCCUCUUCCUCACCCUUCACCUGUUCCAAAACAACAGACUGGUCAGUGUGCUGCUGUUUGAAAGACUUAACAUGUCCAAGGCAAACUUCACGUGGUCUCUAUCCACUUUUUAAGGGGAUGCCCCCAGAAAGCAGAUGGAGAACUAUCAAAAAAAACAAACCAACACUUUUAUAA